CGACUAUAGAGCUCUCACUUGCCUCUUUUCAUUAAUAGCAUGAUGUUUCAGUGAUGGCAGACAACAAUGUGACUCACCAACAAUUCUGAAGAAAUGCUCCUUCAAGCAUCCAAGAGGAUCACCUUUCUUCUCUGUCUUGAAAUUAGGCUCACGAGACAUAUGUUGUGACAAGAUGAGUUUUUACAAUCUGGGGCUUGGAAGUCCUCAACAAAUGUAUAAGAGGUUGGAACUUCUUUCUUCACUGUUCUAUGUUUUUCAUUCACCAAGGAGAUAAUCCAAGAAAAUCAUCAUAUAUUUCAUGAAUUGGAUGACUUCCCUUUGCUGACUCAUGGCUGUCCUAACUUCUUGCUCCUAGAUUAAAACAAAAUUAGGUGUCAAUCAGGACAGCAAGCACAUCUUAAAGAAAAGGAGACAUACUCAUAGAGGGAAGAAUCAUUUGUGGUCACAUGGCUUAAAAGGGCAGAACUGGGACUAAAAUUCAAAUAUGGCUAAAAUGACACCUUUUAAUCUUAUGUCACUAUAGAGAGACAGUACUUGGGGAGGACAGCUUGGCAUGGUUUCUAACGCAAGGAGACCAAGGCAAGAAAGUUCCCAGGGGUAUUUCCCCUGUGAAAUUGCUCACACCAGGAGCAAAGGCUGUCCAGGGAGCCCCAUAAGCUGAUAGUGAUGGAGCCCAUCAGUUCAGUGUCUGAUUGAGGAAGAGCAUUUAAUAAACAUGAGGAGAAAGACCAAGGAUUCCAAUGUUUA
rnacentral:lncRNA from 1 species